rnacentral:rRNA from 1 species
AGAACGAACGCUGGCGGCAUGCCUAAUACAUGCAAGUCGAACGAACUCUUCGGAGUUAGUGGCGCACGGGUGCGUAACGCGUGGGAAUCUGCCCCUUGGUUCGGAAUAACAGUUGGAAACGACUGCUAAUACCGGAUGAUGACGAAAGUCCAAAGAUUUAUCGCCAAGGGAUGAGCCCGCGUAGGAUUAGCUAGUUGGUGAGGUAAAGGCUCACCAAGGCAACGAUCCUUAGCUGGUCUGAGAGGAUGAUCAGCCACACUGGGACUGAGACACGGCCCAGACUCCUACGGGAGGCAGCAGUAGGGAAUAUUGGACAAUGGGCGAAAGCCUGAUCCAGCAAUGCCGCGUGAGUGAUGAAGGCCUUAGGGUUGUAAAGCUCUUUACCCGAGAUGAUAAUGACAGUAUCGGAGAAUAAGCCCCGGAUAACUCCGUGCCAGCAGCCGC